GGGCCCGCACAAGCGGUGGAGCAUGUGGUUUAAUUCGAUGAUACGCGAGGAACCUUACCAGGGUUUAAAUGCAGAACGACAGGGGUGGAAACACCCCCUUCUUCGGACGGACUGCAAGGUGCUGCAUGGUUGUCGUCAGCUCGUGCUGUGAAGUGUCGGGUUAAGUCCCAUAACGAGCGCAACCCCAUUUCUAGUUGCCAGCGGUUCGGCCGGGACUCUAGAGAAACUGCCAGCGUAAGCUGUGAGGAAGUGGGGAUGACGUCAAAUCAUCACGGCCCUUACAUCCUGGGCCACACACGUGCUACAAUGGUGGGGACAACAGGUUGCCAACCCGCGAGGUGAGCCAAUCCCAAAACCCCAUCUC
rnacentral:rRNA from 1 species